UACAGAGAGUGCAACCGUUGUUCGGAAUUACUGGGCUUAAAGCGCACGUAGGCGGCGUCGUAAGUGUCGGGUGAAAUCCCACGGCUCACCCGUGGAACUGCCCGGCAUACUGCGGCGCUAGAGUGUGGUAGGGAAGAGCGGAACUCCUGGUGGAGCGGUGAAAUGCGUAGAUAUCAGGAGGAACACCGGUGGCGAAGGCGGGUCUCUGGGCCGAUAUUGACGCUGAGGAGCGAAAGCGUGGGGAGCAAACAGG
rnacentral:rRNA from 1 species